AGUGAACGCUGGCGGUAGGCCUAACACAUGCAAGUCGAACGGCAGCACAGUAAGAGCUUGCUCUUACGGGUGGCGAGUGGCGGACGGGUGAGGAAUACAUCGGAAUCUACUUUUUCGUGGGGGAUAACGUAGGGAAACUUACGCUAAUACCGCAUACGAUCUACGGGUGUAAGCAUGGGACCUUCUGACCUUGCGCGAUUGAAUGAGCCGAUGUCGGAUUAGCUAGUUGGGGGGGUAAAGGCCCACCAAGGCGACGAUCCGUAGCUGGUCUGAGAGGAUGAUCACCGACACUGGAGCUGAUACACGCACCAGACUCCUCCGAUAGGCAGCAGAGUAGAAUAUGAGACAGUGGGCGCAAGCCUGAUCCAGCCAUACCGCGCGAGAGAAGAAGGCCUUCGGGUUGUAAAGCCCUCUUAUUGGGAAAAAAACGCAGCAGGUUAAUACCCCGCUGUACUGACGGUACCCAAAGAAUAAGCACCGGCUAACUUCGUG
rnacentral:rRNA from 1 species